UUCACAUUGAUUAUUUACAUGUCUGAAUGUUUGAGAAGGUCACUUCUUAUUCAUUUUCAAUCUAUUGAUUUUGUGUAUAAAUAAUCCUCGCGGGAAAUAGUCUGGGACAAGAGAUUUAAGCACGAUCGUGUUUAUGAUCAAAUUAUUGUUUAACGAAUAUACAAGUAUCUCAUUUAUAUGGAAUUCCAUUGUUUACUCUGUUAAAAUAAGCCAGGAAGGAAACAGCAGGUUCGACAAUGGUCUUUGACUGCACAUUGGAAGAAAGAAAAACGAGAUGGCUUACUUUUGGAUUUCUGAUUUUACUUAUUACGCAGACAGUCACUUUUCUCGGUCUGAUAUCGGGAUGGCGUUUUAAAUAUCCGACCUCUUCACCACUCGAGACCAACAGGCAGUGUAUGGCAUGCGAUGAUCUCAAGACAUCCUUAUAUAACAUCCAUAACACUGAUAAGGACAUCAAUGCACUAAGACAAAGGCAUAACUCUUCUUUAUGUUGCGGUGAUGUCCACAAUGUCGUACGGCUUCUUACUAAAAAGGAAUUGUCAUUGCAGUAUUACGACUCAAGUACAGCAUAUUCAAGUAAGUGAUCACCAUUCAUUCAUUGAAUACUAUGGUUAUAUGUGACAUCCGUCCGGUCUCAAAAGCAUCGGAUCAGAAAAGAAGUUUACUGCAUGUAUGUAUGGAUUGUUAUUUUAAUAUUUAUUGUCAAAAGUAUUAUGUUUACGUUGAAAUAUUUAGUUUUUCACCGUCUACUGUCAUCAUUCUUAAUCAUUGAUAAAAUACUAUUUCCAGUUAGUACAAAUUCAAAAUCAGAACAAACAACGGGUCUAAUGUCAAUCUGUUUUAACAAUGACUACAAAAUGAUGUGUUUGUAUCUUGGAAUCAGUAGGUCAAACUUCAAAACUUCAAAUACCUCCGCUAACCGUUUAGGAAAUGUAUUUUGAAUUAUUUCUAACAAGACGAUAUUGUUUUAAAUGAGUAGUUUGCUGUCUAUUAUUUAUAAAAAAAAGUAUGUUUUAAUGAGUAGCUUUGUACAAUUCACAAAUGAUGCGGAACUCGAGAUUUUUGGAGAGUGGAACAUAUUUUUCAAAAAUGCCUUGAUCAAGUUCUUGUUGAUCUUGCGAUCGACGCAGAAAGUGUGUGUCAAGAUUCUAUCUUACAAAUGCUUUAAAUGUUUUUAAAUAACGGUUAGAUUUGUUUGCUCUUAACUUGUGGUGUAAAAUAAUUUUAACAGUUACCAUCAACAGAAAAAUACUAUAUUCUAAAAUCUGCAAACUGUAAACCAUACUAUUGCUGUAUUAGCCAUUUUGCAUCGUGCCACAGCUAUGUUUUAAUACAGGUAUAAUCAGAGAAUCGUUUAUCAACAACUGUGACUUAGAACAGGACUUUAAAACGCCAAAAGCGAAACUCGUCGGUGUAGUAGAUGCCGUGCCAAGUUUUAUUGUUCAAUGUGAUCAUUCUACCAUGGUUUAUAUCAUAAGUUUUAAAAUUAAAUAUUACUCUCAGGAAAAUCAUUUUAGUCUUUAUUUUUCCGUGAUAUAACAUAUCAUUAACCACGCGUCUCAUCAGACUUCUAUCUCCAGAAAUGUAUAAACAAGGACUUUAAUUUUAACAUUUAUAUCUUUCGAUCAAGUUUAGAUCUAAGUUGUUAUUGUUUCUCUUUCAUAGGUGAUUCAAAACUAAGAUGGAAUAAAAACAGCCGUACAUUCACUGCGAACAACUGCAUUCAUCUGGAACUUGAAGGGGAAUCUUUAUCAAAACACAAGGCUACUAUAUAGUAUCUUCAACGUUAAAUGUGAAUGCUACGAGAAGGAACAAUUCAACACCAACAUUCAGUCACCACGUGAACCUCCUGUCACACAGAUUUGGAACGACCAGUGUCCUAAUGCAACGCAAUAAAUCCAUCAAAGAACAAAACCACGAUGCUUUUACAAGUUUAUUGUCCGCAGUUUUCAAGCUCCAAAAGCACGAUCGGAUCUCCGUGUCUGUGAGCCACCCAGAGUAUAUAUCUCGUAACUCUUCAGCGGACAACUUUAUUGCAUACUUCACUUACAACUUCACGUAAAUUCGAGUUUAAUUGUACGAUUCAUACUUCUUAUAACAAGAGUUUUGUACAAUGAUUAAGGUUUGCUAAAUACACAAAAACAUUUAUAUUGGUGUGUAAGUAAAACAACAUAAAAUUGAUUUUCCUUGAUCUUUGAGUCCUUACACAGGAUUUAAAGGGAGUUAAAGGCUACAUCACUUGUCCCUGUCAUUUCCCUUGAUAAAAAAAUUGAAGACAAAUAUGUGUUUAUGCCUAUUGUGCUGGUCAUAGCGAUUCUUAGAAAUGUGUAUGACUAGAUUUGACUAGACAUUUUAAACAGUAUUAUUUCAUUAGGCAGCAUUUCUAUUUGUUAUUGAUUUGUGUUGUUGUGAUUAUCGUCAAGAUAUAUAAAUCAAUAAAUAGUUACAUGUU